AAACUAACGAGGAUUCCCCUAGUAGCGGCGAGCGAAGCAGGGAAAAGCUCAAAUUUGUAAUCUGGCGUCUUCGACGUCCGAGUUGUAAUCUCGAGAAGUGUUUUCCGUGAUAGACCGCAUACAAGUCUCUUGGAACAGAGCGUCAUAGUGGUGAGAACCCAGUACACGAUGCGGAUGCCUAUUACUUUGUGAUACACUUUCGAAGAGUCGAGUUGUUUGGGAAUGCAGCUCAAAUUGGGUGGUAAAUUCCAUCUAAAGCUAAAUAUUGGCGAGAGACCGAUAGCGAACAAGUACCGUGAGGGAAAGAUGAAAAGCACUUUGGAAAGAGAGUUAACAGUACGUGAAAUUGUUGGAAGGGAAACACAUGCAGUGAUACUUGCUAUUCGGGGCAACUCGAUUGGCAGGCCCGCAUCAGUUUUCCGGGGCGGAAAAGCAUAGAGAGAAGGUAGCAGUUUCGGCUGUGUUAUAGCUCUUUAUUGGAUUCGCCCUGGGGGAUUGAGGAACGCAGCGUGCUUUUUGCAUGAGCUUCGGCUUAUCCACGCUU
rnacentral:rRNA from 1 species